rnacentral:rRNA from 1 species
GAGUUUGAUCGUGGCUCAGGAUGAACGCUGGCGGCGUGCCUAACACAUGCAAGUCGAACGAAGCGCCUGGCCCCGACUUCUUCGGAACGAGGAGCCUUGCGACUGAGUGGCGGACGGGUGAGUAACGCGUGGGUAACCUGCCUCAUACAGGGGGAUAACAGUUAGAAAUGACUGCUAAUACCGCAUAAGACCACAGUACCGCAUGGUACAGGGGUAAAAACUCCGGUGGUAUGAGAUGGACCCGCGUCUGAUUAGCUGGUUGGUGGGGUAACGGCCUACCAAGGCGACGAUCAGUAGCCGGCCUGAGAGGGCGACCGGCCACAUUGGGACUGAGACAC